CUCUUACAUCUGAGCUCCAAAGAAAUCAUACCAGGGACUUUUUACAAUGACCAGAACAAUUUAUUUGGUUGUUUUUCUCACUGUGCUUUGUAUUAUAACUGAUACAGAUGGUCAAACUCUGACUCAGUCUGAAUCAGUGGUUAAGAGGCCAGGAGAAUCCCACACUCUGACCUGCACACUUUCUGGGUUCAGUAGCGAACCUUACAUUAACUGGAUUACGCAGGCAGCUGGGAAAAGACCAGAGUGGCUCGGUUGGAUCAGUCCUGACGGUGCUAGCAGUGGCUUUCGUGAUUCAGUAAAAAAUAGGUUCAGCAUCUCCAGAGACAA